rnacentral:rRNA from 1 species
UACAGAGGGUGCAAGCGUUGUUCGGAAUUACUGGGCGUAAAGGGCGCGUAGGCGGCCUUCUAAGUCGGACGUGAAAUCCCUCGGCUUAACCGAGGAACUGCGUCCGAUACUGAAAGGCUUGAAUCCGGGAGAGGGAUGUGGAAUUCCAGGUGUAGCGGUGAAAUGCGUAGAUAUCUGGAGGAACACCGGUGGCGAAGGCGGCAUCCUGGACCGGCAUUGACGCUGAGGCGCGAAAGCUAGGGGAGCAAACGGGG